rnacentral:rRNA from 1 species
AUUGAACGCUAGCGGGAUGCUUUACACAUGCAAGUCGAACGGCAGCGCGGACUUCGGUCUGGCGGCGAGUGGCGAACGGGUGAGUAAUGUAUCGGAACGUGCCCAGUAGCGGGGGAUAACUACGCGAAAGCGUAGCUAAUACCGCAUACGCCCUACGGGGGAAAGCAGGGGAUCGUAAGACCUUGCACUAUUGGAGCGGCCGAUAUCGGAUUAGCUAGUUGGUGAGGUAACGGCUCACCAAGGCGACGAUCCGUAGCUGGUUUGAGAGGACGACCAGCCACACUGGGACUGAGACACGGCCCAGACUCCUACGGGAGGCAGCAGUGGGGAAUUUUGGUCAAUGGGGGCAACCCUGAUCCAGCCAUCCCGCGUGUGCGAUGAAGGCCUUCGGGUUGUAAAGCACUUUUGGCAGGAAAGAAACGUCGCGGGCUAAUACCCCGUGGAACUGACGGUACCUGCAGAAUAAGCACCGGCUAACUACGUG